CUUUUAUGGGAAUCUCUUUUUCAAGAAAAUUUCCAUCAUAAGGUAAAUCAAUAAUAUGUUGUUUUCGAUUCCAAAAAGCAGUUGGUAAAUCUGAACAAAUUUCUUUCUCAAAUAAUUUAUUUAAGUUUGAAAUUUUUUUCUUUUAUAUCUAUUGAAUUUAAGGUUUCUAAGGUUUUUUGAAGUAAAAACUCUGAUUUAAAUGUUCUAGAUGGAAGGUUUUACUAUGGAUUAAAGAGUUUAGAAAGUUUUCUUGUAUAGAACAAGCUUUUAUUAAGUCUAGACUUCCUUUUUUUGGUGUUUGUGGGAACCGAAAUUCGCACUGUCGAUUUUAGUAAGUUAAAUAUGGAGGAAGGUCAAGAUAACCCGACUUUCCCUGAAGGUCCGGAUUCUCUGCGUAACCACACGAAAUCGAUAAAGAAGAACAGAUGACAAAACAUAAGUAAAAAGUCGCUCGAAGGCGUUUUAUUGAUUAAAUGAUAUGAAUACAAAACUUGUGCUAGGUGGUUCUAAGAAAAUGAUCAGUCUAUGAUCAAGUUCUUACCUAGAUAGAAAACGGUUCUACUUGAUGAAUCAGUCUUAUCCUUCAACUUUACUCGACCACUGACCUGAAUCUGAAACAGAGCAGUUCAUAGCAUGAUCUUCAAUCCAACAGUUCGGUUCUGAAGAAGAUAUUUAAAUAAGUUCCUAACGGCUCGGUUUACAACAAGGUUAAUCAGUUCAGCUCAUGUGUAGUCCAGACCAUGACCAGUUCAGUUCAGAUUAAACCCCAUCAGUUCAUAAUAGAUGAGAUAAUUCUAUUCUAGCAAACUGAUUUAUUUAUUAAUCUGAAAUAAUUAAAUCUGAACCGAAGAAAUGCUUAGACAAUUGAUCAAUGGCAACAGCUUAACUAAACAACAUCUGAUGUUGAUCAAGAGAUGACUGAGACAAGAGACUGAAGCUUACAACAACAACUGGUGGCCAGAUGAACUCAGAUGAUUCUCUUCUUCAAGCUUAGCUCACAGCUGGACUGUUUUCAAAGAGACAUCAAGCUUCAGUUCAGAUCAGAAACAGAACAAGAUCUAGGUUUUAUUCUGAAUAUCUCACCUUUUUAUCUUCCACACAUCAUCAGACUGAAUCAUCCAAGGAGUUUUCUGAAUUUUCUAUGAUUUUUCUCAGAUUUUUCUUUCAAUCCUUCUCACUGAUUUUCUCUGAAUAUUUUCUCUGCUUUCUUGUUGUUAUGGACGACCAAGCAGGUGGGGAAAAGGUUAAAAUAGGUUCUGACCUUACUUCACCUGAGGGUUUCACUAAGGACAAAGCUAAGUUGUGCAAGGACAGGUGGUGACCAGCUUCAUCACUCUAAGCAGCCAAGCAGCUCUCCUUUCCUUCACAUUAAGAAAGCUGCAAGCAGCUGGUGACAGUCAUGUGACUGAUUAAUUAGCAAGCACAACAAGCAGCUUGUGACUUGCAUGUGCCCAUUACUACAUAAGCAAGCAAGCAGGAAGGUGCAUGACAUGUGACUUGAUAAGUAAACAAGCAUGCUGGCUUAGGAAGUUAUGGCAUUAGACGGGUCAAGAUUAUUAAGGAAGCUGGUUGAUAAUUCUGAAUAAUAUUUCGACCAAAUAUUCCUUGUCCUUUGGCUCUUGGAAAAUCUCGUUCAGCUUAAUAAAAAUUUGACCAAAAUAUAUAUAAG
rnacentral:lncRNA from 1 species